ACGGAAGGCAGCAGUGGGGAAUAUUGGGCAAUGGGCGAAAGCCUGACCCAGCAACGCCGCGUGAAGGAAGAAGGUCUUCGGAUUGUAAACUUCUUUUAUGAGGGACGAAGGACGUGACGGUACCACAUGAAUAAGCCACGGCUAACUACGUGCCAGCAGCCGCGGUAAUACGUAGGUGGCAAGCGUUAUCCGGAUUUACUGGGUGUAAAGGGCGCGUAGGCGGGGAUGCAAGUCAGAUGUGAAAUCUAUGGGCUUAACUCAUAAACUGCAUUUGAAACUGUAUCUCUUGAGUGCUGGAGAGGUAGAUGGAAUUCCUUGUGUAGCGGUGAAAUGCGUAGAUAUAAGGAAGAACACCAGCGGCGAAGGCGAUCUACUGGACAGUAACUGACGCUGAGGCGCGAGAGCGUGGGGAGCAAACAGGAUUAGAUACCCUGGUA
rnacentral:rRNA from 1 species